GGGCCUGUAGCUCAGUUGGUAGAGCGCCGCGUUUGCACCGCGUAGGUCGUGCUUGGCAGGGGGGCCUGACCAGCACCG
rnacentral:tRNA from 1 species